AACGCGAAGAACCUUACCUGGGCUCGAAAUGUAGAGGACGAUAUCAGAGAUGAUAUUUCUCGAAAGGGUCUUUACAUAGGUGCUGCAUGGCUGUCGUCAGCUCGUGCCGUGAGGUGUUUGGUUAAGUCCAGCAACGAGCGCAACCCUUAUCGUUAGUUGCCAACGCGUAAUGGCGGGAACUCUAACGAGACUGCCUGGGUUAACCAGGAGGAAGGUGAGGAUGACGUCAAGUCCGCAUGGCCUUUAUGUCCAGGGCUACACACGUGCUACAAUGGUCGGUACAGAAGGCAGCGAAACCGUAAGGCGGAGCAAAUCCUGUAAAACCGAUCUCAGUUCAGAUUGUAGACUGCAACUCGUCUACAUGAAGUUGGAAUUGCUAGUAAUGGCGUGUCAGCAACAACGCCGUGAAUACGUUCCCGGGCCUUGUA
rnacentral:rRNA from 1 species